GUGUUUGUAGUUUAAUAGGUUAAAACGGGAGGCUGAAAAGCUGCUCCAGAUGCAAUUGAAAACGGUUCAAGUCCGGCCAAACACCA
rnacentral:tRNA from 1 species